GCGAAAGUGGCUCAGCGGUAGAGCAUCGCCUUGCCAAGGCGAGGGUCGCGGGUUCGAUUCCCGUCUUUCGCUCCA
rnacentral:tRNA from 1 species